rnacentral:rRNA from 1 species
UAGGGAAUCUUCGGCAAUGGACGGAANUCNGGACCGAGCAACGCCGGCGUGAGUGAAGAAGGUUUUCGGAUCGUAAAGCUCUGUUGUAAGAGAAGAACGAGUGUGAGAGUGGAAAGUUCACACUGUGACGGUAUCUUACCAGAAAGGGACGGCUAACUACGUGCCAGCAGCCGCGGUAAUACGUAGGUCCCGAGCGUUGUCCGGAUUUAUUGGGCGUAAAGCGAGCGCAGGCGGUUAGAUAAGUCUGAAGUUAAAGGCUGUGGCUUAACCAUAGUAGGCUUUGGAAACUGUUUAACUUGAGUGCAAGAGGGGAGAGUGGAAUUCCAUGUGUAGCGGUGAAAUGCGUAGAUAUAUGGAGGAACACCGGUGGCGAAAGCGGCUCUCUGGCUUGUAACUGACGCUGAGGCUCGAAAGCGUGGGGAGCAAACAGGAUUAGAUACCCUGGUAGUCCACGCUGUAAACGAUGAGUGCUAGGUGUUAGACCCUUUCCGGGGUUUAGUGCCGUAGCUAACGCAUUAAGCACUCCGCCUGGGAGUACGACCGCANGGUUG